GGGACAUUAGCUCAGCUGGUAGAGCACUUGACUUUUAAUCAAGGUGUCGGGGGUUCGAUUCCCCCAUGUCUCA
rfam:Catonella morbi ATCC 51271 genomic scaffold Scfld1, whole genome shotgun sequence.